rnacentral:Y_RNA from 1 species
UGCUGAUUUAAGUGCACUAGCAUUUACAACUAAUUGAUCAUAACCAGUGACAGAUGUCUUUGUUCCUUCUCUACUCCCACUGUCUCACUUGACUAAUAAAAU